rnacentral:tRNA from 1 species
GAAGCGCAAUGGAUAGCGCGUUGGACUUCUUAUCCAAAGGUUAUGCGUUCGAAUCCCACCUGAAAUA